UGAGGCAGAGGAGAGGAUGAUGAAUGUGCUGAGCCGUACACAGGGCCUGAAGAGUGUCAUGGAUUCUGAGCAUCACAUUUAAAGGAGUCAGUCAAUUCUCCAAGUCCAUUUCCAGAACACAUGAGUAAAAAGGUUCUGGGCAUUGGUUAAAAAAAAAAGCUGAGAGAGCUGGAAUGGUGGUACAGGAAAUGAACGUCUGCUUGUUCCCAUCCUGGAGUCUAUACUGUUUCCUUUGCUGAAGUGGCUGCCUCUGAGUCCCUUAACUAUGGUGUGGUGAGAGGAAGCAACCAUGAUGGAUGAAAAUAAACCCCCAUGGUGAUCAGGAGGUAUUCCUUGGGAACCAGAAAAAAGCAAGGCAGGCUUUAGAACCAGUGUUCCCGUAUAUCCUAGGUAUCCUGAUUGUGACAGUUGAAGUGGAGAUCUGGACUAUGCAAGACUAGAAGUGGCUUGAGUAAAAUUUAUUUAAGUAGGGAUUUUACUUCACAUUUAUUAGGUUCCAGGCAGCAGCAGGAGGUGGAGUAGGAGGUCUUGGUCAAGCUUGUUGUGCUUACUGCAUUUGAGGCAUUGUGACAUCAUAAACAGCACACUACUUAGAUCUAGACUAGUCACCACUGAAUAACUGUGGAGCGACUGGUAGUGUUAUAGUUUGGUAGUGUCAUUACAAUGCGACUUGGAGGGCAAUGACCAUGAUGGUGUCAUACGAAACAGCACUCAGCUGCAAAUGUUAGAAUCAGAUGUUAUGGCUUACUGAAGACAGUUUUUACAGUUGGGUGCAGUAGUUCUGUUGAAGUUUGGCAGACAUAUCUAAUAAAAUAGGAAGUUAAUUACACUGAAGGAUGCUUGCAUUUUGGUCAGAGCUCAGCCUGACGGUUGCCUCUAGCACACCUCCGGAAAAACAGAGAGAGCUGAUAAAUCACCUUCAGGAACAGUCAGAAAGAAAAACACGGAGCCUAAAUCAUCCUCCAAUUUUGGAAUCAGUUUUUCACUGUUUAUUCAUGAAGCACUUCCAGUGA
rnacentral:lncRNA from 1 species